rnacentral:rRNA from 1 species
GCCAGACUCCUACGGGAGGCAGCAGUGGGGAAUAUUGCACAAUGGGGGGAACCCUGAUGCAGCGACGCCGCGUGGGUGAAGGAGCACCUCGGUGCGUAAAGCCCUAUCGGCAGGGAAGAAAAGCGAACAGGUUCGCCUGGACGGUACCUGACUAAGAAGCCCCGGCUAACUACGUGCCAGCAGCCGCGGUAAUACGUAGGGGGCAAGCGUUAUCCGGAUUCACUGGGUGUAAAGGGAGCGUAGACGGCGACGCAAGUCUGGAGUGAAAGCCCGGGGCUCAACCCCGGAACUGCAUUUGGAACUGUAAGGCUAGAGUGUCGGAGAGGCAGGCGGAAUUCCUAGUGUAGCGGUGAAAUGCGUAGAUAUUAGGAGGAACACCAGUGGCGAAGGCGGCCUGCUGGACGAUGACUGACGUUGAGGCUCGAAAGCGUGGGGAGCAAACAGGAUUAGAUACCCCCGUA